ensembl:snoRNA SNORD115 Small nucleolar RNA SNORD115
GGGUCAACGAUUAAACCUUUGACUUGAUUCUAUAGAUGUGUUGUCUUAAAAGUCGUGCUCAAUAUAGUUAUGCCUAGGACCC